UACGUAGGGGGCAAGCGUUGUCCGGAUUUAUUGGGCGUAAAGAGCUCGUAGGCGGUCUGUCGCGUCUGCUGUGAAAACUCAGGGCUUAACCCUGAGCUUGCAGUGGGUACGGGCAGACUAGAGUGCGGCAGGGGAGACUGGAAUUCCUGGUGUAGCGGUGAAAUGCGCAGAUAUCAGGAGGAACACCGGUGGCGAAGGCGGGUCUCUGGGCCGUAACUGACGCUGAGGAGCGAAAGCAUGGGGAGCGAACAGG
rnacentral:rRNA from 1 species